AACGAACGCUGGCGGCAGGCUUAACACAUGCAAGUCGAGCGCCCCGCAAGGGGAGCGGCAGACGGGUGAGUAACGCGUGGGAAUCUACCCAUCUCUACGGAAUAACGCAUGGAAACGUGUGCUAAUACCGUAUACGUCCUUCGGGGGAAAGAUUUAUCGGAGAUGGAUGAGCCCGCGUUGGAUUAGCUAGUUGGUGGGGUAAAGGCCUACCAAGGCGACGAUCCAUAGCUGGUCUGAGAGGAUGAUCAGCCACACUGGGACUGAGACACGGCCCAGACUCCUACGGGAGGCAGCAGUGGGGAAUAUUGGACAAUGGGCGCAAGCCUGAUCCAGCCAUGCCGCGUGAGCGAUGAAGGCCCUAGGGUUGUAAAGCUCUUUCACCGGUGAAGAUAAUGACGGUAACCGGAGAAGAAGCCCCGGCUAACUUCGUGCCAGCCGCCGCAGUAACAC
rnacentral:rRNA from 1 species